rnacentral:rRNA from 1 species
GACGAACGUUGGCGGCGUGCUUAACACAUGCAAGUCGAACGGAAAGGCCCUGCUUUUGUGGGGUGCUCGAGUGGCGAACGGGUGAGUAACACGUGAGUAACCUGCCCUUGACUUUGGGAUAACUUCAGGAAACUGGGGCUAAUACCGGAUAGGAGCUCCUGCUGCAUGGUGGGGGUUGGAAAGUUUCGGCGGUUGGGGAUGGACUCGCGGCUUAUCAGCUUGUUGGUGGGGUAGUGGCUUACCAAGGCUUUGACGGGUAGCCGGCCUGAGAGGGUGACCGGCCACAUUGGGACUGAGAUACGGCCCAGACUCCUACGGGAGGCAGCAGUGGGGAAUAUUGCACAAUGGGCGGAAGCCUGAUGCAGCAACGCCGCGUGCGGGAUGACGGCCUUCGGGUUGUAAACCGCUUUCGCCUGUGACGAAGCGUGAGUGACGGUAAUGGGUAAAGAAGCACCGGCUAACUACGUGCCAGCAGCCGCGGUGAUACGUAGGGUGCGAGCGUUGUCCGGAUUUAUUGGGCGUAAAGGGCUCGUAGGUGGUUGAUCGCGUCGGAAGUGUAAUCUUGGGGCUUAACCCUGAGCGUGCUUUCGAUACGGGUUGACUUGAGGAAGGUAGGGGAGAAUGGAAUUCCUGGUGGAGCGGUGGAAUGCGCAGAUAUCAGGAGGAACACCAGUGGCGAAGGCGGUUCUCUGGGCCUUUCCUGACGCUGAGGAGCGAAAGCGUGGGGAGCGAACAGGCUUAGAUACCCUGGUAGUCCACGCUGUAAACGGUGGGUACUAGGUGUGGGGUCCAUUCCACGGGUUCCGUGCCGUAGCUAACGCUUUAAGUACCCCGCCUGGGGAGUACGGCCGCAAGGCUAAAACUCAAAGGAAUUGACGGGGCCCCGCACAAGCGGCGGAGCAUGCGGAUUAAUUCGAUGCAACGCGUAGAACCUUACCUGGGUUUGACAUGGAUCGGGAGUGCUCAGAGAUGGGUGUGCCUCUUUUGGGGUCGGUUCACAGGUGGUGCAUGCCUGUCGUCAGCUCGUGUCGUGAGAUGUUGGGUUAAGUCCCGCAACGAGCGCAACCCUUGUUCACUGUUGCCAGCACGUUAUGGUGGGGACUCAGUGGAGACCGCCGGGGUCAACUCGGAGGAAGGUGGGGAUGACGUCAAGUCCUCAUGCCCCUUAUGUCCAGGGCUUCACGCAUGCUGCAAUGGCUGGUACAGAGAGUGGCGAGCCUGUGAGGGUGAGCGAAUCUCGGAAAGCCGGUCUCAGUUCGGAUUGGGGUCUGCAACUCGACCUCAUGAAGUCGGAGUCGCUAGUAAUCGCAGAUCAGCAACGCUGCGGUGAAUACGUUCCCGGG